rnacentral:pre_miRNA from 1 species
UCGUAUACUGAAUGUAUCCUGAGUUUAAAUUUUCCGGUAUACCUUCAGUAUACGUAGC